UCGCCAAACCGAGAAGGAGCCCGAGCCGCUCUCCUGCCCCGUCCCCGCUGGGGCCAGACCCGGAGCCGCUUCGCCCUCGGCGGAUGCCCUUCGGGGAUAAAGCCCGGCGGAGCUGCCGGCCGAUUCUGCCGCUUUGCCCGCCCCGGGGCAGGCACCAAAAGCGUUAACAGCCCGCUCCCUCUCGCCUCCAUUUCCUGUGCAGCUUCUCCUUUUUCCUUCUCCCGGAGCCCGGAGCCCAAAGUUUGGCAGUGCCGAUGGCCUGGCGUGCCGCUGCGGCCGUUCGGCUCCUAUUCGGCCAGCUCAGCCUCUUCCCGCUGUGGUUCUCGGGUGUGGGUGCCCAGGGGGGUCCGGACUUCGAGCUGCAGCAGCCCCAGGACAAGGUGUCGGUGGCAGCGGGGCAGACGCUCACCCUGACCUGCACCACGUCGGGAACUGGUCCCACUGGCCCUGUGAAGUGGCUGAAGGGCUGGGGCAGUGGGAACGAGACCGUUUAUGAACAGAGGGGUUCCUUCCCCCGCGUGACGAGGGUAGUGAGUGAGUCCAACACAGACUUCAGCAUCUGCAUCAGGGAUGUUCGCCCCGAGGAUGCCGGCACCUAUUACUGCGUGAAGUUCAGGAAACUGGUGGGCGGUCUUGAUGUGUUUCGGCGUGGAAAGGGCACGGUGGUGUCCCUGCAUGAUAGAGCCCUGGUUCCCAGCAUGGUGGCUGCAGCUGUAGUGCUCUGCUUCCUCCUCCUCCUUGGCCUCUUUGUCACCCUUUGCAUGUACAGGAGGAAGCGCAGGGGCGAGGCAGAGAGCCAGCGCCUGGCCAGGCUGGCAGCCGUGGGCAGCUUCUUGCCCAUCCGUCUGCGGUGCUGUGCAGGGAACCCUGGCACCCCCAGGUCCGUACCCACCACCUCUUCCUUCUGCACCCCGAGCAGCGAAAUCGUGGAUGCAGAGACCUCACAUCUGCCCAGCCAGCAAGGCAGCAAGGAGGACAAUGACAUCCACUAUGCCGAUCUCCAGCCCCUGCCCGCAGCCCCGCGGCACGGCAGGACCCCCAGCGCAGCCUGCUCCGAGUACGCCAGCAUCAGGGUAGCUGCCAAGUGAUGUGUGGCACCGCAGCCUGCAAGGCCAAAGAGCCCGUUUCGGGGGAGGAAGCAGGGACAUUUCUGCAGGGCACAAUAAAGAAGAAGUGGAUCUGUUUGCAUGGCACGCUCUGGCCCAAGGUCAGCACCCUGUGCUCGGAGCUGGCAAAGCUCCCCUAAUUCAUUCCCAUCUCAGCAGCGGUGCCGGGUUGAGGCUCAGGGCCGGACUCGCCGUGCCAGGGCUCAGCAGCAGCUCUCCCAGGACCCAUCAGCCAUCUCGAACACGGGAUCAAGCCACGAGGCUGAGCACCUCUGCCUUGUGCAAGCUGUUCGGUGCCGAUUACACCAGGAGGACUUCACGCGUGCCUGUCUCCACCAGCAUGGGCCACCACUGGCACUUUCCUGGCUCAGCAGGUAGAGGAACCUGCUGUUUCUGACACCGCUGCUGCCUGUAACCUUGAAAGCUGCUGCAGUUGUCGGUUUCCAACUUUAUCUACUUUUUACGGUGAAAUCAAAAAGAGAAGCGAAACAAGACAGCGUGAAAUAGCAGCGUGUGUGUACGUACCCAAGGGAGCCUUGCUUGCCAGCAGAGAUCCUCUCGGGGAGAGAAUUGUUAUGGGGGAGAGGAGCCACUACUGAAAUUCAUUUGCAUGACUGAAUAAGCAUCUCCUGCUCUGGGGGACGUGCCCUGGG